rnacentral:tRNA from 1 species
CGGGUUAUGGCUGAGUGGUUAAAGCGCUUUCCUUGGGAGAAGGUUUUCCUGUGUUCGAUUCACAGUAACCCGA